rnacentral:rRNA from 1 species
GCAUAUCAAUAAGCGGAGGAAAAGAAAACAACUGUGAUUCCCUUAGUAAUGGCGAAUGAACGGGAACAGGGCAUCGCGGAACUGCAGGUCAUCUUGGCCUCGCGGAAUGUCGCGUUCGGGAGAGUCUUCUCGAGGACCGGACGGCCAGUCAAAGUCCAACUUGACAGUGGCCACUGCCCAUAGAGGGUGAUAGGCCCGUAAGGCGGCUGUCCGUUUUCGCUGACUUUUUCCCUAGAGUCGGGUUGCUUGGGAGUGCAGCCCAAAGUGCGAGGUAAACUCCUCGUAACCCUAAAUAUGACCCCGAGACCGAUAGCAAACAAGUACGGUGACGGAAGAUUGAAAAGAACUUUGAAGAGAGAGUUCAAUAGUACGUGAAACUGUGUGGUGGUAAACGGAGGGGUUCUCGAAGUUUCUGUGGGGAACUCAGCCUUGGUGUCGCGUGGCCCUGUUGUAUCUGAUCAGCAAUGACAGUGCAGCUUGUCCGACGUGUCUCUCGGGUGCAUUUCCCCCGCAGUUUACGGCAGGAACUGUUUGGAGCGCACCGAAGGCCUCGGGUGAAGUUGUUGGUUCUGCUAGCAGCCCUGGGUGUCCUGGCUUCGCACCAGACAGGUAUGUGAGAGGACUCGUAUAGCGAGCAAUGCUCUGUUGCGGUUCUCAUCUCUCUGCCGAGUAGGUCGGCGGCCCCUCCGACCCGUCUUGAAACACGGACC